CCUACGGGAGGCAGCAGUGAGGAAUAUUGGUCAAUGGGCGUAAGCCUGAACCAGCCAAGUCGCGUGAGGGAUGAAGGUUCUAUGGAUCGUAAACCUCUGUUAUAAGGGAAUAAAGUGUGGGACGUGUACUGUUUUGUAUGUACCUUAUGAAUAAGGAUCGGCGAACUCCGUGCCAGCAGCCGCGGUAAUACGGAGGACCCGAGCGUUAUCCGGAUUUAUUGGGUUUAAGGGGUGCGUAGGCGGCCUUGUAAGUCAGCGGUGAAAGUCUGUGGCUCAACCAUAGAAUUGCCGUUGAAACUGGGAGGCUUGAGUAUGUGGGAGGCAGGCGGAAUGCGUGGUGUAGCGGUGAAAUGCUUAGAUAUCACGCAGAACCCCGAUUGCGAAGGCAGCCUGCCAAGCCAUGACUGACGCUGAUGCACGAAGGCGUGGGGAUCAAACAGGAUUAGAUACCCUAGUAGUC
rnacentral:rRNA from 1 species